rnacentral:lncRNA from 1 species
UAGCUUUUUGUUGUUGUUGCAAAUGCAUUUCAGUUUCUGCCGUCAUGAAAAGACUGGGUUGUGAAGAUAUGCAUUCCCAGAAAGAACCUGACAUAAAUCUCCUUCAGUCUGCAGAAAAGGCGCGCAGCACUAACGUGAUCUGUGAGCAGAACAAAAUGAAGGCUUCACAAAAAGAAGAUGGCAAAUCGUCACUAGUUGUGGUCCAACCAAGGAAAAGGAGGAUUUUUGCUCUCUUGAAAAGUUUGGGCCUCAGAAGGGCCCAGGAUCAUGAAUACAGUGGCACACCUCAGAAAAAGAGUGUGCUUAGAGGUGAAAAGGCCUGUGGCACCACAGAAGACAUUGAUACGUUUGAAGAAAGCACUGAUGAUGAUUUGGAUAUUGAUCAUGUGGAUGAUGACGAUGUUGAGAAUGAGUUGGAAAUCCACAACACAUAUGAGGAUAACAGCGAGAAUGACUUGGGGAGUGUCACCAGCGUGCACACCUUUGAACUUGAUACUGAUUCAGAUGAGAUGAAGACAGUUCCUGUUGGGCCUAUACAGGAGGACAAGGAUGUGGAGAAGGGACCAUUCCUAACUUGGAGAGAUGGCCCGGCCUGUAAAGGCCAGGGUCACAAAAAUAUUAUCGGAAGUGACUGUUGAUCCUGUAUUCCCCAGGAUCCUGGAAGUGGCACCAGUAUUUUUCUUUUUUUCUUUUCUUUUUUUUUCCACAGCAUCCAAAAUUUAUUAUUUGGUUUUUGUAACUGAGUUCAGUAUUUCUGGUAUAAUGAAAUAAAGUACCAAUAUUUUUUCAAGU